GCCCAGACUCCUACGGGAGGCAGCAGUGGGGAAUAUUGCACAAUGGGGGGAACCCUGAUGCAGCGACGCCGCGUGGGUGAAGGAGCACCUCGGUGCGUAAAGCCCUAUCGGCAGGGAAGAAAAGCGAACAGGUUCGCCUGGACGGUACCUGACUAAGAAGCCCCGGCUAACUACGUGCCAGCAGCCGCGGGAAUACGUAGGGGGCAAGCGUUAUCCGGAUUUACUGGGUGUAAAGGGAGCGUAGACGGAUGGAUAAGUCUGAAGUGAAAGCCCGCGGCUCAACUGCGGGACUGCUUUGGAAACUGUGCAUCUUGAGUACGGGAGGGGCAGGCGGAAUUCCUGGUGUAGCGGUGAAAUGCGUAGAUAUCAGGAGGAACACCGGCGGCGAAGGCGGCCUGCUGGACCGAAACUGACGUUGAGGCUCGAAAGCGUGGGGAGCAAACAGGAUUAGAUACCCUUGUAUGG
rnacentral:rRNA from 1 species